rnacentral:lncRNA from 1 species
GCAGUAGAUGGCAGCUGGUUUGUGACACGACACAGACCAAAAGAUAUGCUUAGAAGAUCCCUGUCCCUGUGGAACAUCUUUGGCCAUCUCUUUGCAUCACUCUAACCCAAGUGAGGAAGAAAGAAUAAAAAGUCGACUUCGGGGGCAGAAUACAUUCUCCUAGAUCAAGAAGACUUCCUCAUCAAGACCUCAUUCUAUUUGCACAGCCCUGCAGUGGAGAGAUUUAUUGCGUUUCUUUCAUGCAAUCAACGCAGACUUUGAUGUGAACACGGGGAGAGACAGUGCACGUGCAGCUGACCCACGGGGAACAGUCAGCCCCGGGCACUUGAAGGAGAACAGAGGCUUCCCUAACUCAAGUCGCUGUCUCCUGCCAGCUGAACAUUCUAGAAGCAACCUCUAAGGAGAGAAUGAAUUCUAAAAGAAUGCUGUUAUUGGUUUUAUUUGCUUUUUCACUGAUGUUGGUUGAGCGUUAUUUCAGACAUGCCUUUUGCCUCCUGCCAUGAUUCUGAGGCCUCCCCAGCCAUGUGGAACUGUAAGUCCAAUUAAACCUCUUUUUCUUCCCAGUCUUGGGUAUGUCUUUAUC